AUUGAACGCUGGCGGCAUGCCUUACACAUGCAAGUCGAACGGCAGCACGGGAGGCAAUCCUGGUGGCGAGUGGCGAACGGGUGAGUAAUAUAUCGGAACGUGCCCAGUCGUGGGGGAUAACUACUCGAAAGAGUGGCUAAUACCGCAUAUUCUGUGAGCAGGAAAGCAGGGGAUCGCAAGACCUUGCGCUGAUUGAGCGGCCGAUAUCAGAUUAGCUAGUUGGUGGGGUAAAGGCCUACCAAGGCUACGAUCUGUAGCGGGUCUGAGAGGAUGAUCCGCCACACUGGAACUGAGACACGGUCCAGACUCCUACGGAGGCAGCAGUGGGGAAUUUUGGACAAUGGGGGCAACCCUGAUCCAGCCAUGCCGCGUGAGUGAAGAAGGCCU
rnacentral:rRNA from 1 species